UACGGAGGGGGCUAGCGUUGUUCGGAAUUACUGGGCGUAAAGCGCACGUAGGCGGCUUUGUAAGUUAGAGGUGAAAGCCCAGGGCUCAACCCUGGAAUUGCCUUUAAGACUGCAUCGCUUGAACAUCGGAGAGGUAAGUGGAAUUCCGAGUGUAGAGGUGAAAUUCGUAGAUAUUCGGAAGAACACCAGUGGCGAAGGCGACUUACUGGACGAUUGUUGACGCUGAGGUGCGAAAGCUAGGGGAGCGAAUGGG
rnacentral:rRNA from 1 species